rnacentral:rRNA from 1 species
GACGAACGCUGGCGGCGUGCUUAACACAUGCAAGUCGAACGGUGAAGCGCCUUCCUUUUUGGUGGGUGUGGAUGAGUGGCGAACGGGUGAGUAACACGUGAGUAACCUGCCCCCUUCUUCUGGAUAACCGCAUGAAAGUGUGGCUAAUACGGGAUAUUCUGGGUCUGUCGCAUGAUGGGUCUGGGAAAGAUAUUGUUUCGGUGGGGGAUGGGCUCGCGGCCUAUCAGCUUGUUGGUGGGGUGAUGGCCUACCAAGGCGGUGACGGGUAGCCGGCCUGGGAGGGUGGGCGGUCCACCGGGGACUGGGACCCGGCCCAGCACCCGCGGGGGGGGAGCGGGGGGGAAUAUUGACCAAGGGGGGAAAGCCUGAGGCAGCGACGCCGGGUGGGGGAUGGGGGCCUUCGGGUUGGGAACCUCUUUCGCCAGUGAAGCAGGCCUGCCUUUUUGGGGGGUGGGUUGGCGGUAGCGGGAUAAGAAGCGCCGGCAAACUACUU